GUGGGGAAUCUUAGACAAUGGGGGAAACCCUGAUCUAGCCAUGCCGCGUGAGCGAUGAAGGCCUUAGGGUUGUAAAGCUCUUUCAGCUGGGAAGAUAAUGACGGUACCAGCAGAAGAAGCCCCGGCUAACUCCGUGCCAGCAGCCGCGGUAAUACGGAGGGGGCUAGCGUUGUUCGGAAUUACUGGGCGUAAAGCGCGCGUAGGCGGAUUGGAAAGUUGGGGGUGAAAUCCCGGGGCUCAACCUCGGAACUGCCUUCAAAACUCCCAGUCUUGAGUUCGAGAGAGGUGAGUGGAAUUCCGAGUGUAGAGGUGAAAUUCGUAGAUAUUCGGAGGAACACCAGUGGCGAAGGCGGCUCACUGGCUCGAUACUGACGCUGAGGUGCGAAAGAGUGGGGAGCAAACAGGAUUAGAAACCCCAGUAGUCC
rnacentral:rRNA from 1 species